rnacentral:rRNA from 1 species
GACGAACGCUGGCGGCGUGCUUAACACAUGCAAGUCGAACGGAAAGGCCCUGCUUUUGUGGGGGGCUCGAGUGGCGAACGGGUGAGUAACACGUGAGUAACCUGCCCUUGACUUUGGGAUAACUUCAGGAAACUGGGGCUAAUACCGGAUAGGAGCUCCUGCUGCAUGGUGGGGGUUGGAAAGUUUCGGCGGUUGGGGAUGGACUCGCGGCUUAUCAGCUUGUUGGUGGGGUAGUGGCUUACCAAGGCUUUGACGGGUAGCCGGCCUGAGAGGGUGACCGGCCACAUUGGGACUGAGAUACGGCCCAGACUCCUACGGGAGGCAGCAGUGGGGAAUAUUGCACAAUGGGCGGAAGCCUGAUGCAGCAACGCCGCGUGCGGGGUGACGGCCUUCGGGUUGUAAACCGCUUUCGCCUGUGACGAAGCGUGAGUGACGGUAAUGGGUAAAGAAGCACCGGCUAACUACGUG